rnacentral:rRNA from 1 species
AACGUACGCUGGCGGCACGCCUAACACAUGCAAGUCGAGCGAGGUAGCAAUACCUAGCGGCAGACGGGUGAGUAACAUGUGGGAAUCUGCCUUUUGGUUCGGAACAACACGGGGAAACCUGUGCUAAUACCGGAUAAGUCCUAACGGAGAAAGUUUUAAUGCCAAAAGAUGAGCCCGCAUUUGAUUAGCUAGUUGGUAAGGUAAAAGCUUACCAAGGCGACAAUCAAUAGCUGAUUUGAGAGGAUGAUCAGCCACACUGGGACUGAGAUACGGCCCAGACUCCUACGGGAGGCAGCAGUGGGGAAUCUUGCACAAUGGGCGAAAGCCUGAUGCAGCGAUGCCGCGUGAGUGAAGAAGGCCUUUGGGUUGUAAAGCUCUUUUGUCGGGAAAGAUAAUGACUGUACCCGAAGAAUAAGGUCCGGCUAACCUCGUGCCAGCAGCCGCGGUAAUACGAAGGGACCUAGCGUAGUUCGGAAUUACUGGGCGUAAAGAGUAUGUAGGCGGCUAGAUAAGUUAAUCGUGAAAGCCCAAAGCUUAACUUUGGAAUUGCAAUUAAAACUAUUUAGCUGGAGUAUGAUAGAGGAAAGCGGAAUACAUAGUGUAGAGGUGAAAUUCGUAGAUAUUCGCAAGAACACCAGUGGCGAAGGCAGCUUUCUGGCUCGGUACUGACGCUAAGGCGCGAAAGCGUGGGGAGCAAACAGGAUUAGAUACCCUGGUAGUCCACGCUGUAAACGAUGAGUGCUAGAUGUUGGGGGAGGAAUCCUUCAGUGUCGCAGCUAACGCAUUAAGCGCUCCGCCUGGGGAGUACGGUCGCAAGAUUAAAACUCAAAGGAAUUGACGGGGACCUGAACAAGCGGUGGAGUAUGUGGUUUAAUUCGAAGCAACGCGAAAAACCUUACCAGCUUUUGACAUGGGGAUUAUGGGAACGAGAGAU